rnacentral:rRNA from 1 species
GAUGAACGCUGGCGGCGUGCUUAACACAUGCAAGUCGAACGGAGCUUAUGUGAUAGAGGAUUCGUCCAAUUGAUCAUAAGCUUAGUGGCGGACGGGUGAGCAACGCGUGAGGAAUCUGCCUUGGAGUGGGGAAUAACACAGUGAAAAUUGUGCUAAUACCGCAUAAUGCAGUUGAGUCGCAUGGCUCUGACUGCCAAAGAUUUUUCGAUCUGAGAUGACCUCGCGUCUGAUUAGCUGGUUGGUAGGGUAACGGCCUACCAAGGCGACGAUCAGUAGCCGGACUGAGAGGUUGGCCUGCCACUUCGGGACUGAGAAACGGACCAGACUCUUACGGGAGGCAGCAGUGGGGAAUAUUGGGGAAUGGGCGCAAGCCUGACUCAGCAACGCCGCGUGAAGGAAGAAGGCUUUCGGGUUGUAAACUUCUUUUGUCAGGGACGAACACAAUGACGGUACCUGACGAAUAAGCCACGGCUAACUACGUGCCAGCCGCCGCCGUAACAC